rnacentral:rRNA from 1 species
ACGAACGCUGGCGGCGUGCUUAACACAUGCAAGUCGAACGGAAAGGCCCUGCUUUUGUGGGGUGCUCGAGUGGCGAACGGGUGAGUAACACGGGAGUAACCUGCCCUUGACUUUGGGAUAACUUCAGGAAAAUGGGGCUAAUACCGGAUAGGAGCUCCUGCUGCAUGGUGGGGGGUGGGAAGUUUCGGCGGUUGGGGAUGGACUCGCGGCUUAUCAGCUUGUUGGUGGGGUAGUGGCUUACCAAGGCUUUGACGGGUAGCCGGCCUGAGAGGGUGACCGGCCACAUUGGGACUGAGAUACGGCCCAGACUCCUACGGGAGGCAGCAGUGGGGAAUAUUGCACAAUGGGCGGAAGCCUGAUGCAGCAACGCCGCGUGCGGGAUGACGGCCUUCGGGUUGUAAACCGCUUUCGCCUGUGACGAAGCGUGAGUGACGGUAAUGGGUAAAGAAGCACCGGCUAACUACGUG